rnacentral:lncRNA from 1 species
UAAUAAUUUUAUAUAUAUAAACUCCUCUCCUUUGGAGCAAUUACAUCAAUAUACAAGCCUUAAAAUCCAAAGAUCACCAAAAUACUUGAUAAGGUGUUAUAAAUAACUUAUAUAUCCUUAUGAGGAAUUUUUCCCGAAGUUCAACAGCUCAUAACUUACGAUCUAACCGUCUAAACAACUCCAAAGUUUACAUGAAGUACUGAUAUAUCUUUAGCAACUACCACACCAAAAUUCAACCGUAAAUUCGUCUUGGAUCUUGUGAUAUCUUGAAAUUCCUAACUGUAGCUUCAAACCCUAGCUUUUUUACACCCGUGUACAACUUCCUUCAUAACUCACAAAGUAAUUAUUCAAAUACUAUGAAACUUUGAUCUAAAGCUUCUUAACCCAAUUACACACACUUGUGGAAAUUUUGAGCCAAAAAUUCGUCCAAAAACUCAAGAUAUGGCUUCACCCAUAACUAGCAACAAAACGAUAUACUUACUGCCUUCAAAUUACAAGUGCUAUCUUCAACGCCUCAUAACUCCUUCACCCAAUCUUAGAAUUCACUAUACAGUAAGUAGAAUGUGUAGCCGAGAAAAUGCUCCCUCCAAAUCCAGUCGCCGAUCUUCCGUUGCUCUCCGUAUUCGUAUGUGAUGCCCAAAAGAAGUGACAGUAGGUACGAAAUUGACACCUUAUCUUUGAACAUUCAUAUCUUUUCCAUAAAAACUCGAAAUCACACAAAAUCUUCACCCAAAUUAUACCCAAAACCCUAAACCUUCUGACCCUAGCCUCAAAAG